UGAAAGCAAUAUUCUCGUCACAUUUGUUUAAAAACACAUCUAGUAUACCUGCCUGUCUUUAUCUUCCUACAAAUUCCUAAUGGUCCAGUUUCAUCCGGUCCAGUCCAAUCCAGUUCCAUUCAUCUUUUCGUGAUCAACUGACCCCUGUUCAUUACGGGGCGUCAAAGUAGGUUAAUAUAAAACACAAUCUCACAUCCCUUUCUCCUGACUUCCCGACACACUUUUAUCUGUGUCGCAAACUAUGAAACAUAUAACAAUUUUAUAUACAUAUCUCUUAUCAAUUACCCGGGUGACUGACAUAUGCCCUUAGUUUAUUGUCUCACAAAACGUAUGCGGGCGACGUCGUCUGUUAAUUUAAUUUUAAAUUAAAAUAAUUUUAUAAUGUAUCCCAAUCCUUUUGAGAGACGACACUCGAUUGUUUGGCAAAUGUUUGAGAGAUUGUUCUUGAAAGAUGUGCGUUGCCGACGAAAAAGGAAGCUUGGUUGACGGUGCCUAGUUACUAUUGUAUAUAGCAGGUAAAAUAAUAUAAAAUCACGUGCUCCACGUGUCGAUCCAAUUAGUGUAAUGAACCACAUCAAAUUGUUUGCCUCCAAGACUGAAAUAUAAGACUAUUCUGUGAAAUAGGAAUAAAGAAACAUAUGAACUUUGUUAAAUAUACUUACUUACUCCGCUGGCUCAGCGACCUAAAUUGUGUCUGGACCCUGUUACGAGAGAGCUCUACUUUAAACGAUCCUUGGCCACUUCUCGCCAGUCAUCGACGUGAAGCGCCCGAAGGUCCGUCAACUGUAUCACUUGAGCAAUGCCUGGGUCGGACAGCGCGCCUACCUAUUGGUUAUCGUAAAAACGCUCUCUUAACACCGCGAUCUUCUCCCAUCCUUUCGAUGUGGCCGAGCCAACGGAGUAAAAUAUAAUUAUGUAUGUGUAAUCACUAAAAGCUCCAGUGUUUUUUUCAUGUUCUAACUGUACGUUGUUUGUGAAGUAGUUAGUCCUACCCAGGAUAAAUAUUUAUGUGAUGAGCAUGAUCAUUUGUCUACGUCUCCGAGUAAUUUAUCUACAGUGUAUUAAUGUAUAUAUUUAGCAGUGUAAGUAUGUUUAUCAGAUGUCUGGUUUAGUACUUACAGUACACGUUUUAUUGUAAAGUGUGAAAGUUGAUGAAUAACAUAUUAUUAUUUUAGCCAGUAUCAUUUGUCUAUGUGUAGGUUUUUAUACCGAUGUUUCAACUACUAUAACUUGUAAAUGACUAAACCAAUUUUGAUGGAAUAUGCCCAAAACAUUUAGUAAAAAAGCUGGGUUCCUAAUAAUAAAACUACAUUCGAAAUAGAUCACCAGUUUUACUACAACAAUGUCACAGACCGACAAACAGCGAUCAAACAUAGAUUAUAUUAUUAUGUUUCAGCUCCUUUAAAAUUGAGUGUCAUAGUCAAACCUAAUUAGCAAUCAUCUUUCUAUUCUUCCACUUAAUACUUUUAUAGAAGUAUAUUUCAAAUCAGACCAAUUUAAUAAACGAAUACCUUUUUACUGAAAGAACAAUUCCUUGAAAGGAUUUUGCGUGGGUUGUAUUUAACCUAACAACCUCUAGACCGGCUUUCACAAUCAUUGGUCUAUUGUGACCUAAUACAGGUAGGGUUACAAAGAACAAAGACUAUUCAUAUAAUAAGAGAAAAUAAAAUGUUUUGUUUGUUCGGUCACUGAAAUAAAUCUUUGGUUUAUUA